CAGGCCUGUUCCACUGGUAAGCUUUAAAGUGUCGAUCACUUUUCAGACGUUUUGCUAAGUGAAGGCUCAAGCAUACAACAGAGAGGCAUCUCCUGGCUGCACUAACCUACAGCUUCUGAGUCAUUUGCUUACCUGGCUUUUAGUGUAUCCACUCUGAGGGAUGUGCACACAAGAAUUUGAGAGGAGAAGCCAUGCAAACUGGAACCUCCGAAGAAUUAACUCUAGCUAAUAGACUGAGAUCUAAAGAAUUAGAUCCCGUGAAGCAUUUCAGGUGUCUAUUCAUUAAUCACUGGUUAAGAAAUACCUCUCAAGGCUUAUGUCUGAAGACAGCUGUAGUCAAAGAGCAGGUGAGCUGUGGCAAAUUACUGAUGCUCUGGUCAUGAAUGAGUUCUCUCUGGAUAAAUCACAUCUGAUGUUUUGGUGAAAAUAGACAUGCAUUUUGAAGCAAUGAACUGCACGUCUCUUCAGCAAGCCUCAAUGUAAAUCUGUGAUGUAUCUUUUUGGCAUCAAGACUGCCAGCAGCAAGGUGAAGAUGAGUGUGAUCUGCUAGUUGAAUGCUGAGCAUAUGGAAGGACAUCCUGUGCUAGGAACAAAAGGACAGUCAAGAAGAAUGAGGAAAAAGCAAACUUCAGCAGGAAAGCUUUGUAGUCCUUUGAGCACUGCUUCUUUAUUUUGGUUGUGGAUAAUUCUGUGUCUGCCUCUGUAGUUACUCCUUUCUAAGAACAACAUUAGACAACACUGAGCUGUGGUGCUUCAGAUUCUUUCUGUGGAUUAAUCUUCAGGUUCAAAAUUUGGGUUGGUACAAGGACCAUCUGUUUAGUGUAGUUUGCAGGCAGAGUGAAGAUAUGUAUGUUGUAAUUGUAUGUAACUCACUAAAUAGAGAAGGCAGAGAAUGUACUUGAACUUCUAUGUUUGUACUGAUGGACAUUUUGUAUAUACAGAGUUGUUCAGUUGAAGCUUUGGCUUUCCUCUUCUUUCUACUGUUGUGAGUGGUUAUGCUGCUAAUUUUGUUCAUGCUUGAGAGUGCUUGUAAAGAAUGAAGUGAUCAUAUCUUUUUUUUGUAUGUGGUGAUGUGGAGAAAAAUUUCUGAUUGCGCCUUUAUUGCGUUUGAACGGUGCAAUGGCUUCCAGGGUUAGUAAGAAAUAGAGACAUUCUCUGUCACCCAAGCUUUUUCUGUACUGUUCUGGUUAUAAUAGCUUAACACUCUGAGAAAGGGGACAUUUCACUCUGUAUUUGUACCUUCACAUUUCCCAUCCUGACAGCUUAUACCUUGUACUGAUGUUAAUUUUGCUUCCUCUUUGGCUCCAUUCUCAUUCAAUUCGGUCACUGUAUAUAAAAAUUUGCUUCUUGUUGUCCUGUUUGCUAUAAACAUUACUUCACAAGCAGCUGCAUGCUUACAUGUGUUUCAUACUAAGCCCAACACCCAUAUUACACCCACUUGACAAGGACUCUGUCCGCUGCAUAAACCAGAGCCGCUUCUUUGCCUUGACAUGUUCCUGGACUAGCUAGUUAGCUUUAACAUUUUUUCUACUCUUCAGCUUCCAUCUUCCCCAUUAUGCAUAGAGAUGGCCUUCACUGUAUCCCUUCUGACUUGCUGUUUUCAAAUGUUCAUUUGUUUUUCUUCAAUUUAUUCAUGUGUUUUAAAAAACUGUAAAUCAUGGCUAAUUGAAAAAUGAGAGAAGGCAAAAAAAAA